GGGCUCCCUAAAUUCAGGAAAAGAGAGGUCGGUGUGACUGAGUCAGCUGAAUCCCUCAUUCCUGGGUGGGAGGUGACUGUAGAGAUGAAACUAUCUCCACCAUCAGAAAAGGGAAAGGAUCUUCCCAAACCUACAAACGGGCUAACAUUGAUGCCUUGUCCCUUCAUUGCUUGGAGGAAGUGGGUGAAGAGGACAAACUAAAUCAACAAAGCUGGUUUCCGCCACUUCUCAUCCCUCUUGGGCACCGAUCCUGACUAUAAUGUUCACUGAAUGUGGGAACAGAAAGAAACUGUGACCCCCAGAUAAUGAAAGUUGAGCUAAGACCAGUCUGAAAGCUACAGUUACAGGUAAGUAUUUAUAGGAUAUGCCCAAGUGUAUGGCACUUGAGUGUGAUUUAAUUUUAGGUCACUUAUAUUUUAGAGAGAUUGUGUAAAUCACUCAGAACUUGGUGCUUUUAGGUGCUUCUUUUCACAAUUAGUGACUAAAAUCAAACUCUUGGACACCUUGAACAAUAUUUGCAAUCAGGAUACUGAUAAACUGUAUGGUCUUGGCAUAUACUAGUUUCAUCCUCACAUUCUUCUUUAGUCUCCAGACACUUUAUGAAAAGAACAUUCUUCAGCAUUGGCAAAGCAUCGUUAAUGAGCCUUAUUCUACUUACAGACUAUCCACAUUCUCAGUUGAUUUUAGUCUUUUUUUUUUCUUUUUUACCACAGCAACAGAAAAGUAAUUAACGUUCUGUAUAUUUGGGAGAGUGGUUUCGUCGGCUCUUCCUAACUAAAUCCCUAAGCUAUUGAGUUACGUGGCAUUCUCUCCCAUGACUUCCUGAAUCAACUUCUUGAGGAAUGUGUGAUGACUGAGGACUAGGUGCGUCUUUACAUCAUUCCAAGAGUUCAGCUUUCUUCUGCCCAGGACUAGUUUUUCACUGGAAGAAACUAAAGUAGGAAACUCUAAAUUCUUAGGUAAUACAAAUGAUGACUACUGAGACUUUCAGAAUUCCAACAUUCUGCUUUUCAGUUCAAAUUGUAUAUUCAGUUCUAGCAAAGCAUUUCUUUUAUGGAGAUAUAAAUAAAAGACUUUUGUCAUGUGAACAUUUUCUCUAGGGAUUCUUAUGGAUUUUCAGUGAUGAGAUUGCAUUGCAUACCCAUAACAAAUAUAACUCAUUAAAAUAAGAACAUUAGCUUCAGUACUGCAGUAAAAUUUGGAAGCUUUUGUGUUACUAGACUUUUCAUUGCCAUGACAAAAAGUUUCACAUAAACAACUCAAGAUAAAAAUAUGUUUGGCUCAGUUUCAGAGGCUCAGGUAACUGUUGUGGGACUUGGGUGGCAGAGCAGAACAGCUCACAACAUGCUGGUCAAGAAGCCAAUGAGAGGAUAUCUGUGUUAACAACAGUUAAGUUUCUCCCUUUUACUUUAUCUGAGUCUUUAUCUUAGAGAAUGGAGCCAUCACAUUUUGGAACCAGAACACCCCCAGAGGUAUGCUUUAUUAGUCUCUUAGGUCCUUCUCUAUCCAAUCAAGUUGAUCAUCAAUAUUCGCCAUCAUAGCCUGUUGCCUACACGCUGGCAUUGUAAGAAGGCAGUAUUUUAUACAUGGGAUUCCUUGGCACUGGUCUCAGACUUCAGGCACACUAUGAUUUUGGUUACCUUGAUAGAAAUAUUGUGCUCCGCCUAGGGAUAUGGAGAACCCAGAAUCAGCUCACGGAUUGAAGAAGUGAUCCAUGUAGAGCUUAGCUUAUAAUGUUGAACAUGAAAAGCCUGACCAUGAAGUAUCCUCUGGGUUCCAGAAUCAUCAGUUCUGUACUCACCAAAGGUUUUGUUGACUUUCUCUCCGUAAUGAUGGACAAAAUUCCAGAGGCAAUAAACUGCUCAGACAAGAAGAAAACAUUAUCAGGUCACUUUCUAUGUACAAAGUGACUACAGUUUACUCUAUGUUGUCUGUGACAAACUUUCCUGGACCAAAUGACCAGUGACACACACACUUAGGCUCACAAGUGUGUCUCUUUGUUCAUGCACUAUUCAGAGAACACAAGAAAAGGUAGAUAAGAGCAGAAAUCUAUCCCAUUAAAAUUCAUUAAAUCUAUGAGAUAGCAAAAGGAUAUUUUGUUAAAUGCAAAGGAAAAUGUGGAUUUAGAUAAUUUUAGAGUCUGAGGAUUCCAUCUACAAGAAGAGAAAAUGAAAAAUAGUAUUGCAGGCAGUAGUCCCUCCUUUUAUCAGUAAAGUUAUGUCACUCUGAUUUCCACAUAAAACCACACAAACUUUCUUCAGUAACUCUCACUUGAACAUGUUGAGAUAAUAUUUAAUGUGCAAUCUCCACCAUGCUGGUAUUUUAGUGAGAAAUCUGGGAGCUACGUCCUCUAAGACACUGGCCUGUUCAUUGCAUUUCUUGUCAUGCUCCUGGCUGGCAUUACAUCAAUAUCUUGGCAUCAAGAUAAUACUGGUAUCCAAACAAGAGUUUAGAAAAAUACUUCUUUCAGAUUUUGGUGAUAGUUUGACAGUGAUCUGCACUGUUUAAUUUUUUUUGUUUUGUUUUUGUUAUCUUUUUGUUUUCCUGAAGGAAAUAAGGGAAAAAAUUAACAAACACAAAACAAAAGAAACAGGUCUUUCAGUAGCUGAUUCUAGAGAUCAAGAUAAAUGAGAAGAAGAGGAAGCAUAAGUUUGCAUUUCCAGAAGCCUUUAGAUGUAAUUUUUAUAAAUCACUAUUUUACCAUGAUUGACUUUUUCUAUUUUUCAAUAAAUUAAAUAAAACCAAGUCUUUAGUAUUAUUUUAAACAAGAAACUUUGUGAUUUCUAUUCUCCAAAGUUAAACAGCCUAUCCAUAUAAAUAAAUGCUGGGUCUUCAUCUUUGCAACGAUAGGGAUUGAACUCAGGGUCUGUGAGGUCUAUGGAUGUGCUUUGCUGAUGAGCUACUCAACAAAGUUACAGAGACAGAGUCUAAUAAAGCUAAAAGAACUGAGUGUCUCUUCUAAUGCAAGAGAUGCUCUAUGUAAAGAGCACACAACGGUGAGGAGAGAAAUAUAAAGAAACUGCACUGACCUAGAAAUCACUGCAUCAGCCCCAUCAUCAGUGUAAGGUCAACAGUGACAUGUUGUAAAUAAUAUGCACCCUUCAUGCUACCUACAGUAUGGCAAGACACUACUGUCAUAGUCACCUAUCCAGUCACCACUCUUGGCUCACUUAAAGAUUAACAGGAUGUCAGACAAACACAAACUUAUAAAUAUUUUCAAAAAUGUAGGCCAGCAAAAUUCAUAAACUGUCAAGUCACUAAGGACAUGCAAAGUCUGAAAAGGUUCAAAAAAGGACAUCUAGUGGAGACUCUGGAGACAGAAGUAUCUUUGAAUGGAAACUGGGACAAAGAACAUUCAUGGAAAACUGGUGAAAUCAGACAAUGUAUUGGUCUGAGAAGAGAAAAUCAGAAAUCAUUGACACAAUAGAAAGAAAGGUUGAGCUAUGAUGCAUCAAAGGAAAGCACAUAGGAAGGGGGGAAUAACUGUUACUGAGCUGUAGUAAGCAGAUUGGAAGCCCCAGUGAGAGGAAUCCUCACUUGUGUGUGGGACUCAUCCACAUCUGUCUAGAGAAGAGCGGUCCUCUGAGAAAAGGACCUUCAUGACCUCCUCACCCCAGACAUGGAGCAGGCUCAGAGGAAUAUACAGUCUAUCACCUGGAAUGCCUCCAACAAAGCCAGAUCAAAA